GCCUUAGUAGCCCUGUGGUUAGAGCAUGGGGGUCGACAAUCCCAAGGUUGUAAGUUCAAUUCUUGCCAAAGGAC
rnacentral:tRNA from 1 species